UGCGCAGGCGGUUAUAUAAGACAGUUGUGAAAUCCCCGGGCUCAACCUGGGAAUUGCAUCUGUGACUGUAUAGCUAGAGUACGGUAGAGGGGGAUGGAAUUCCGCGUGUAGCAGUGAAAUGCGUAGAUAUGCGGAGGAACACCGAUGGCGAAGGCAAUCCCCUGGACCUGUACUGACGCUCAUGCACGAAAGCGUGGGGAGCAAACAGGAUUAGAUACCCUGGUAGUCC
rnacentral:rRNA from 1 species